rnacentral:misc_RNA from 1 species
UGGACACCAAGAUGUAUAAUUUUAAGGUCUAUAUCUAUUAUUCAACAACCCAAAAUUGAGAUGUUGUUGACAAUAACAAUACAAGAAAAAUAUCUAAAAACAAGAUAAUAGAAAUUACUUACCAGAUUAAGAUGAGUUGAUGAUGAUUUGAGCUAAAAUAGAAAAGACGGGCUUAAUAUAUACUCUAAUUACUAAGGAGUAAAACCUAACUAUGACUAAGCUUUGAAGGUGAAGAGCUGCUAUUGAGCUGCUGACCUA